GCGAGACUGCCCUCGGGGGGAGGCCUCCAGAUCCCUUCGCUGCCAGAUCCCUCCUCGCGAUCCUCCCGACGUCCUCGCGCCGCCGUCCUCUUCUUCUCUGCGACUCCUCUGUGCACGACGCCCUGACCGACGCCGGCGAGUCCUCGGCACUCCGCGUGCGCCUCGCAUCCAACGCCGGGGAGGAUCGCGUGACUCCGCCCGCGUCGUCGCCUCCGACGCUGGCCUCUCCUUCACCACCGUCCCUGCCGGCAGGGUCCCCCUCGUCAUGGCCUUCCUCGCCUGGGUGUACGUCACCAGCUGGCCAUAUGGCAGGACGCGCAGACCCGGGCGAUCCUCUCCGGCCUCCUUGAGAAGAGCUCGACUCCAGCCCGGCGACGACGAUGACCUGAUUCCUACCCGUGGACGAUGAUGUGCUCUGGCCCAACCGCAUCGACCUCAACAAGCCUCGUCAAGAAUCGUCACCGUGGGCUGCGCCCCUCUCUUCCUUCACGACCAGGAGUUGUCGAGGAGAACCAUCAACUUGAUUGAUUGGUUGUCUACUUGAAAAGAAAAGAAGAUGAAGACGAAUGAGUGGAUCUGAAGGAGAGAGGGCGAGAAGAAGAGGCGCCGUGUGUCUUGUAGUGGGUGAGAAUUGUCUAGCCGGCAAUGGAUUUCCAGCAAGGGUGGCAGAGAAAAAUCCAUGACGAGAUGAACACCACCACGACAGCAUCAUGAAUGUCAUCGAGUUCUCUUGGGCAAUAAAACUGCAGUCACUGGAGGGAGCAAACCAAAUGACCAUAUAUGUACUACUCAGAUCACGGGGGUUGUGGAGUCCUUGGCGUGUGCAAGUAUGCCCAACCUGCCAUAUCUCUAUGCUGCGGAUUUUAUCAAGGUCUUACAAGAAAAACAUGCAUCCAACACCUACGCAAAAAUGACCUCAAUAUUUAUGUCACAACAGCAUCUAAUGCAGAAGAAAGCACCUGGGGUACAUACUGCCCAGGAAUGGAGCCAUCGCCUCCUUCUGAGUAUAUUACCUGCUUAGGUGAUCUCUACAGUAUUUCCUGGAUGGAAGACAGCAGCCGUAUGUGCACUGCUUGUGCUAGGCGCCGAUCUGGAGGCCCCUGAUCGGAAGGGAAGCCACUGGAGCUGCUGCGGGAGAUGGUGGCGGUACGCUGGUAGAGCUUGGAGCAGACGUGGAGGGGCCGGACCUGCUGGUCCUUGAAGGUGCUGAAGGUGCUUUGAGAAAAAAAUCAGUUAGGUGUACAUGUACUAAGAAAAGGAACGGCUUGUGUUCCACGAUGGUACGUGCCGCAGUAUACUCAACGGAUGGCAGGUUCUUAUAUGCCAUAUGGAGAGGGAGAACCAGGUGCCUGAGGGACAUCGAGCUUUCCCAUGUCUUCUUCCUUCCAUUCAACGUUGUUAAGAUUUUGAAGAUUUUUGGCGAUCUGAACUCGGGUGACAUGGACCCUCUGCAACGGACUCUUGGCUUACAUCAACCAUUUUGUUGACCAAGUACCUGUAUUGCGGCAUGAUCCAAGGAGUGGAUCGCUGCAUAUAUCCUGACAUGACUGGUCUGUUAUUGUUAUCUUCUUGGGAGUACUUGAGAAGGCGUGGCGGGGAAGGUGGGGACACGCCAUGGCAGAGGCCAGUGGCAAACCUACGUGUAAGCCCUGAGGUCCGGGGAAGGUAGCUUUAUUUGGCAAUGCCAAUGAUCAAGUUAGGGAUGCACAAGUCAACCAUGAGAUGUCGGAGACUGAUGUGGAUGCGCAAGGGCAGCGCUGGCCUCUGCCUAGAAGGGCAAUCACAGUGUACAGAGCUCUAGCAGCACUACGCCGUCAUCCUCUGCCUCACCCCGGCCGCAUGAAUUUCAAGAGAUGCAAGGAAGUAGGAGGAAGAAGAAAUGCAGGCGACCUCAUGAAAGUCACAGCAGCAAAGAUCCACAGAUAGAGAAGUCAGAGGAGGAACCAUGAUUUUUGAACAAGCAUUAGUUUGUGGCUCAUGGAUGAAGAUUGCAAUCUGUUAUUGUUAUCUUCUUGGGAGUACUUGAGAAGGCGUGGCGGGGAAGGUGGGGAAACGCCAUGGCAGAGGCCAGUGGCAAACCUACGUGUAAGCCGUGAGGGUAUUCUUGCUGGCGUCGUCGCUAGCAGAGGCGCAUGGUCGACAGGAAGAGCCGGGGCAUUGACACUUUUCGUGCUACCAACACUACAUACCAGCCACAAAAACACAAUAACAGUUGGGAGGGCUGCUUUAUAUCCCUAGACCCCCACCCACACCUGACCGCCAUCUCCCUCUUUCCUCGGUAUCAUAACCUGAUGCGACGUUGGCGGCGCAGCAGUCCGGAGGAGGCCAGCAGUGCCGACGACGGCUCUGCGAUGGGGAAAGGUCGCUCAUCAUUGCGGCACCAGCAGUUCCACGAUCACAUUAUAUCCGCGUGUUGAUGAGCAACAUGACUCUCCGCCCUUCCUCCCUCCAGGAAGAGACAUGAUCAUAUCGAUCACCAGUCAUGGAGUCAAGUGGUUGUUGUCGUCAAGCUAAAUGUUGGUGAGUGCCAAAUGAGAAGAUAUAUGUUCUAAUAUUCCUGAGCUGGACAUUAUGGUAAAAUAUUAAUUUUAGAAAUUUUGCCAAUCAUACCGGUCUGUAGCUAUAUCACAUUGCAAAAUUCCAUGAACAUGUGGUCCACAUUAUUUUUCACAUUGCAAAAUUCCAUGAACAUGUGGUCCACAUUAUUUUUCUAUUAUAUUUUUCCUGCCCAAGCGUGGAUGCAGGUGGAUGUGGGCGCCGCGGCUGCCACCAAGGAUGUAGGGGUCAUGCUACAACCGGUGAGGACACAAUAGGCACUUUUUUUUGGGAUGGAGGGAGUAUUACAUUCCUUGUAAUCGCAUGCUAUAUUUUCAGUGGGAAUUCAUUGACACAGCUCCUUACAAAAGUUGUAUCUUUGACAUAGGCAAACUGCUCAAGUGAUUAUAUCAUCCAUUCUGAUUUUGAGGGAAAUAUAUCCAAAUGAACAGUAUGAU